GGUUAAGCGACUAAGCGUACACGGUGGAUGCCCUGGCAGUCAGAGGCGAUGAAGGGCGUGCUAAUCUGCGAUAAGCGCCGGUAAGGUGAUAUGAACCGUUAUAACCGGCGAUACCCGAAUGGGGAAACCCAGUGUGACUCGUCACACUAUCAUUAACUGAAUCCAUAGGUUAAUGAGGCGAACCGGGGGAACUGAAACAUCUAAGUACCCCGAGGAAAAGAAAUCAACCGAGAUUCCCCCAGUAGCGGCGAGCGAACGGGGAGGAGCCCAGAGCCUGAAUCAGCAUGUGUGUUAGUGGAAGCGUCUGGAAAGGCGCGCGAUACAGGGUGACAGCCCCGUACACAAAAGCGCAUGUGCUGUGAGCUCGAUGAGUAGGGCGGGACACGUGGUAUCCUGUCUGAAUAUGGGGGGACCAUCCUCCAAGGCUAAAUACUCCUGACUGACCGAUAGUGAACCAGUACCGUGAGGGAAAGGCGAAAAGAACCCCGGCGAGGGGAGUGAAAAAGAACCUGAAACCGUGUACGUACAAGCAGUGGGAGCACAGGUUUACCUGUGUGACUGCGUACCUUUUGUAUAAUGGGUCAGCGACUUAUAUUCUGUAGCAAGGUUAACCGAAUAGGGGAGCCGGAGGGAAACCGAGUCUUAAUUGGGCGUUAAGUUGCAGGGUAUAGACCCGAAACCCGGUGAUCUAGCCAUGGGCAGGUUGAAGGUUGGGUAACACUAACUGGAGGACCGAACCGACUAAUGUUGAAAAAUUAGCGGAUGACCUGUGGCUGGGGGUGAAAGGCCAAUCAAACCGGGAGAUAGCUGGUUCUCCCCGAAAGCUAUUUAGGUAGCGCCUCGUGAAUUCAUCUCCGGGGGUAGAGCACUGUUUCGGCUAGGGGGCCAUCCCGGCUUACCAACCCGAUGCAAACUGCGAAUACCGGAGAAUGUUAUCACGGGAGACACACGGCGGGUGCUAACGUCCGUCGUGAAGAGGGAAACAACCCAGACCGCCAGCUAAGGUCCCAAAGUCAUGGUUAAGUGGGAAACGAUGUGGGAAGGCCCAGACAGCCAGGAUGUUGGCUUAGAAGCAGCCAUCAUUUAAAGAAAGCGUAAUAGCUCACUGGUCGAGUCGGCCUGCGCGGAAGAUGUAACGGGGCUAAACCAUGCACCGAAGCUGCGGCAGCGACGCUUAUGCGUUGUUGGGUAGGGGAGCGUUCUGUAAGCCUGCGAAGGUGGCCUGUGAGGGUUGCUGGAGGUAUCAGAAGUGCGAAUGCUGACAUAAGUAACGAUAAAGCGGGUGAAAAGCCCGCUCGCCGGAAGACCAAGGGUUCCUGUCCAACGUUAAUCGGGGCAGGGUGAGUCGACCCCUAAGGCGAGGCCGAAAGGCGUAGUCGAUGGGAAACGGGUUAAUAUUCCCGUACUUGGUGUUACUGCGAAGGGGGGACGGAGAAGGCUAUGUUGGCCGGGCGACGGUUGUCCCGGUUUAAGCGUGUAGGUGUGUGUUCCAGGUAAAUCCGGUUCACUUUAACACUGAGGCGUGAUGACGAGGCACUACGGUGCUGAAGUAACAAAUGCCCUGCUUCCAGGAAAAGCCUCUAAGCAUCAGGUAACAUCAAAUCGUACCCCAAACCGACACAGGUGGUCAGGUAGAGAAUACCAAGGCGCUUGAGAGAACUCGGGUGAAGGAACUAGGCAAAAUGGUGCCGUAACUUCGGGAGAAGGCACGCUGACACGUAGGUGAAGUGAUUUACUCACGGAGCUGAAGUCAGUCGAAGAUACCAGCUGGCUGCAACUGUUUAUUAAAAACACAGCACUGUGCAAACACGAAAGUGGACGUAUACGGUGUGACGCCUGCCCGGUGCCGGAAGGUUAAUUGAUGGGGUCAGCGCAAGCGAAGCUCCUGAUCGAAGCCCCGGUAAACGGCGGCCGUAACUAUAACGGUCCUAAGGUAGCGAAAUUCCUUGUCGGGUAAGUUCCGACCUGCACGAAUGGCGUAAUGAUGGCCAGGCUGUCUCCACCCGAGACUCAGUGAAAUUGAACUCGCUGUGAAGAUGCAGUGUACCCGCGGCAAGACGGAAAGACCCCGUGAACCUUUACUAUAGCUUGACACUGAACAUUGAGCCUUGAUGUGUAGGAUAGGUGGGAGGCUUUGAAGUGUGGACGCCAGUCUGCAUGGAGCCGACCUUGAAAUACCACCCUUUAAUGUUUGAUGUUCUAACGUGGACCCGUUACCCGGGUUGCGGACAGUGUCUGGUGGGUAGUUUGACUGGGGCGGUCUCCUCCUAAAGAGUAACGGAGGAGCACGAAGGUUGGCUAAUCCUGGUCGGACAUCAGGAGGUUAGUGCAAUGGCAUAAGCCAGCUUGACUGCGAGCGUGACGGCGCGAGCAGGUGCGAAAGCAGGUCAUAGUGAUCCGGUGGUUCUGAAUGGAAGGGCCAUCGCUCAACGGAUAAAAGGUACUCCGGGGAUAACAGGCUGAUACCGCCCAAGAGUUCAUAUCGACGGCGGUGUUUGGCACCUCGAUGUCGGCUCAUCACAUCCUGGGGCUGAAGUAGGUCCCAAGGGUAUGGCUGUUCGCCAUUUAAAGUGGUACGCGAGCUGGGUUUAGAACGUCGUGAGACAGUUCGGUCCCUAUCUGCCGUGGGCGCUGGAGAACUGAGGGGGGCUGCUCCUAGUACGAGAGGACCGGAGUGGACGCAUCACUGGUGUUCGGGUUGUCAUGCCAAUGGCACUGCCCGGUAGCUAAAUGCGGAAGAGAUAAGUGCUGAAAGCAUCUAAGCACGAAACUUGCCCCGAGAUGAGUUCUCCCUGAGACUUAAAGUCUCCUGAAGGAACGUUGAAGACGACGACGUUGAUAGGCCGGGUGUGUAAGCGCAGCGAUGCGUUGAGCUAACCGGUACUAAUGAACCGUGAGGCUUAACCCU
rnacentral:rRNA from 2 species